rnacentral:rRNA from 1 species
UACGUAAGGACCGAGCGUUGUCCGGAAUCAUUGGGCGUAAAGGGUACGUAGGCGGGUUUUUAAGUUAGAAGUCAAAGGCUAUAGCUCAACUAUAGUAAGCUUCUAAAACUGGGGACCUUGAGUAAUGGAAGGGAAAGUGGAAUUCCUAGUGUAGCGGUGGAAUGCGCAGAUAUUAGGAGGAAUACCGGUGGCGAAGGCGACUUUCUGGCCAUUAACUGACGCUGAGGUACGAAAGCGUGGGUAGCAAACAGG